rfam:Cronobacter sp. DJ34 Bact_A5_10, whole genome shotgun sequence.
UGUCACGCCGCGCGCAGAAUUGCGAUAGCGGUCAAUUCGUCGUAUAGUUAAAAAGUUGACGUAACACAGUGUGCUUUACGGCUACCACCCGUAAACAGCUGAAAAAACCCUGCCCCAGCGGCGGGGUUUUUU